GACGAACGCUGGCGGCGUGCUUAACACAUGCAAGUCGAGCGGUAAGGCCCCUCGGGGGUACACGAGCGGCGAACGGGUGAGUAACACGUGGGUGACCUGCCCUCAGCUCUGGGAUAAGCCUGGGAAACUGGGUCUAAUACCGGAUAUGACUCCAUGACGCAUGUCGUGGGGUGGAAAGCCUUGUGCGGCUGGGGAUGGGCCCGCGGCCUAUCAGCUUGUUGGUGGGGUGAUGGCCUACCAAGGCGACGACGGGUAGCCGGCCUGAGAGGGCGACCGGCCACACUGGGACUGAGACACGGCCCAGACUCCUACGGGAGGCAGCAGUGGGGAAUCUUGCGCAAUGGGCGAAAGCCUGGCGCAGCGACGCCGCGUGAGGGAUGACGGCCUGGUUGUAAC
rnacentral:rRNA from 1 species